rnacentral:lncRNA from 1 species
AUGCUUGGGGGAGGCAUGUGUGCUGGGGUGUCUCUGAGGGACACUCCCAGCCCCCUCUACCAAGACCGCUUUGGUGCUGGCUCCCUAGCUCGCAAACGGCUCCCUGGAACGGCCCAUCGCCCCUCCUGGUCGGACAAACGCAUUGCCGUCCAAGCCCGCCCUCAUUUCUCCACCUCCACGUCUUCGCACAUGCUGUUCCCAGCGCCCGGCAUCUCCUCUCCAUGCACCAAACUCCUACUCGUGCUUCAGGGCCCAGCUCAGAUGUCGCCUCCUCCACCCUGUGCCCUGAACUUUCCUCAGCCAGGUGUCAUGGAGACCCCCGGGUCCCACACUCCUUGGGGUGAGUCCCCGUUCUGCCCUGUGUGCACACAAACACGCGCACCCCAAGGUCGAGACGGUUGGGCUCACCUGGUGCCCGUGGGCGGUGGGGCUGCAGGCACAGGGAGGCGCCAGGAGAAGGCAGGGCCGAGGCACCCGUGGCGGAAGUUCAAGCCGCGGGAUCCGCUCACAGGGGAGGGAGAGGCGGGGUGCGGGUUCAGCUCAGGUUGCGGAGGCGGCCCGGGGAGUCCCCUGGGCUGUUUUGCCGGGCGACCCUGGGCUUUGGAGCUGCUCCCAGGAGCCACUGAAAGCCAGAUCAGCCCGCCUGGCAGGUGCCAUUCCCAGGAGAUGGCAGGGCCCUGGAAGCCAUCGCAGGGAAAACCCCCACUUCCUGCUUCCGUAGGGCCCCCCCCCCAGACAGUGGGGGCUGGGCUGGGGAGGGAGGGUGCCAGGGGGCUCCAGACACCACGACCCCGGGGGUGGAGGUCAGGACCAAGAACUCCUGUGCCCCCCCCCUCACGAGGGGACGCCCGUUUUCAGGAUGCAGGAAAGAGGCUCAGAGGGGGGAAGGCCAUGCCUGUUCCCAGGGGAGCAGAAGAGCCCGCGGCCGGUCCCAGAGCUGGGAGGGGAGCAGGUGAGUGCUGGGACCCCAGCAGCACUCCCGGCCUUGGUGCCCCCCCACCCCCCCACCCGGGCACCUCCGGGCCCAGGCAGGGAGGCGCCCACCUCUCAGGCCCAGUAAGCAGACCGUGUGCAGGCUCCACGAGCUCCUUGCAGGACGGUGGCCACCUCACCCAUCGCGGGGCUCACAGCGGCCUGGGGCGCCCAGCAGAAACCGGAGCCCAGCCUGGGCAGAGAGGCCGAGGAUGCCGCCCCCUCCACUGCCUUGAGGGUCCCCUGAGCCCUGCGCCCCAGCAGACUCGCCCCCACCUUACCCGCCAGAGCAACCCUGUGUCUGCUUAUCUUUUAGAAAAUCACCCAGCCACGUGCUGGGAAGCAGCCCAGCCCUAG